AACGGUCCUAAGGUAGCGAAAUUCCUGGUCGGGUAAGUUCCGACCCGAACGAAAGGCGUAACGAUUUGGGCACUGUCUCAACAACAGACUCGGUGAAAUUGUAAUUCCGGUGAAGAUGCCGGAUACCGGCGACAGGACGGAAAGACCCCAUGGAGCUUUACUGUAGCUUGACAUUGGGUCUUGGUACUACAUGUACAGGAUAGGUGGGAGGCUUUGAAACCAGGACGCCAGUUUUGGCGGAGCCAUCCUUGGGAU
rnacentral:rRNA from 1 species